rnacentral:rRNA from 1 species
UACGUAGGAGGCGAGCGUUGUCCGGAGUUACUGGGCGUAAAGGGUGCGCAGGCGGCCGCGCGCGUGGGUGGUGAAAUCUCCCGGCUCAACUGGGAGGUGCGCCGAAAACUGGGGGGCUAGAGUACUGGAUGGGAGAGUGGAAUUCCUGGUGUAGCGGUGAAAUGCGUAGAUAUCAGGAGGAACACCGGUGGUGAAGGCGGCGUCUGGGUCGAUACUGACGCUGGAGGUGCGAAAGGCGUGGGGAGCAAACAGG